CCUACGGGCGGCAGCAGUGAGGAAUAUUGGUCAAUGGACGCUAGCCUGAACCAGCCAAGUAGCGUGAAGGAUGACUGCCCUAUGGGUUGUAAACUUCUUUUAUAUGGGAAUAAAACGAGGUAUGUGUACCUUUUUGCAUGUACCUUAUGAAUAAGGAUCGGCUAACUCCGUGCCAGCAGCCGCGGUAAUACGGAGGAUCCGAGCGUUAUCCGGAUUUAUUGGUUUUAAAGGGAGCGUAGGCGGGUGGUUAAGUCAGUGGUGAAAGUGUGCGGCUCAACCGGAAAAUUGCAUUUGAUACUGGUAGCCUUGAGUACAGUUGAGGUAGGCGGAAUGCGUGGUGUAGCGGUGAAAUGCUUAGAUAUCACGAAGAACACCGAUUGCGAAGGCAGCCUACUAAACUGCUACUGACGCUGAUGCUCGAAAGUGUGGGGAUCAAACAGGAUUAGAUACCCUAGUAGUC
rnacentral:rRNA from 1 species